rnacentral:misc_RNA from 1 species
GAUGAAGAACGCAGCGAAAUGCGAUAAGUAGUGUGAAUUGCAGAAUUCAGUGAAUCAUCGAAUCUUUGAACGCACAUUGCGCCCCCUGGUAUUCCGGGGGGCAUGCCUGUCCGAGCGUCAUUACAACCCUCAAGCCCGGCUUGUGUAAUGGGCGGCCGUCUCUCCCCCCGGGGGGAGACGCCCCCGAAACUCAGUGGGGAUGUCGCGAUACCGAAGCCUCAGCUAAUGGGUAAACCACAGCUGCAAUGGCCGCGGCCGGCGUCCGCCUUCCACGGUCCGUCCGCCUAGCGCGGGCGGCCUUCUCAAGGUUGACCUCGGAUCAGGUAGGGAUACCCGCUGAACUUAAGCAUAUCAAUAAGCGGAGGA